ensembl:lncRNA LINC00877 long intergenic non-protein coding RNA 877
GUUACUAGAGGAGAGGAGAAGCUCCGUGCAGGGGAAUCCGGGAUGCUGGAAAGCUGGGGAAUUUAAUACAGAGCUGGCUCUGCUCCAUCCUGGAUCUUCUUUAUGUUCUUUGACAAUGUGCCAGAAACCCUGACAAUGAACCGCUGUCUCUGACUAAUUGUUCUAGUGGAGAUGUCUCCUGUUUGACUUGAUUUUAAACUGUGGAGCACGUCAAGAGAAAGCUCACUGAUCUGCCGAGGGUUUGUGCUUUUCUGUCUUCAUGCAUCUGUUGUGGGUGAAGAGAGCAAAGAUUCUUCAUUCAAUCAAAGGCCCCCUUUGGAGAUGCUGAGAAGGAAAUUUCCUUUGGAAAUUCCCAAAGGAAUUGGGCUGUCUCUCUCUCUUUCUCUGGUUGCAUUUCACCAGCUAAGGAGUUGCAUUGGCUUCUGCUCUCCUCUCUUGCUCACCUACAUUGUGAGGCAGAUGAGAGUGGAGGUUGUAAAUCACCCUCCAUGCAAUGGUUCAUCAUAAAGGAUAUGGAGCAAAAUUAGAGGAGGCACGAGAAGGAAAGCCGGUGAUGAACAAGGAAAGUGCCUGGUUGAAGCUAGCUUGCAAUCCCAAAGUCAGAAGGUUGCCUGGGAAGCCAUGAAACAAAGCCAAAUCAAGGCAAAGCAGACACAUGGAGAUUUUGAGACUGAGAAGAGGAAAACUGAGGACAUUCAUGUGAGAUGGUUUCAAGUUUCCCUUAGAAGGAGAAGUUAUCUUCAGAAGGUCAGGUUGGUGAGGUGGGAGUUCAAAAACAACAAAGUAUGUAGCUACCAUUGUGAGGAAGACCAUGGAAAAUGGACGAAUCAGAAUGAAAGGCUUUCUGAACAAGAGGGAGUUUCCCUGCACAAGCUCCCUCCUGCCUGCUGCCAUGUGAGACCUGCGUUUUGCCUUCCACCAUGACUGUGAGGCCUCUUCCCCGGCCAUGUGGAACUCCCAGAGACAGAAGCAGAUAAUGCAAGUGUCAUCUACAUCUGGCAAAAGCCAAAGGUUUGGAAGAUGGAAAAAGGAAUCCAGGCAAAAAGGAGCCCAAGAUUGAAGUGAAUGACCAGGUGCACCAGUUCAAAUGCAAUCAGGAGGGACAGGGGUAGAGGGAGAAGCCUAGAGCAGCGCUUCUCAAACUGACUAUUCAAGUCACCUGGAGAUCUUGGUGAAAUGCAGACUCUGGUGCAGUAGGUCCUGGCGGGAACUUGAAAUUCUGCAUUUUGACCAAGGUCCAAGGUGAAUGUCCAGUGCUGUUGUCCUUGGCCUGCAGCAGGAGGAGCAGGGAUCUAAGACUUGGAGAGCAAAUGUCAAGCUCAGAAGAAAGACUGGAAGUUUGGGGACAAAACCCAAAUAUGGCUAAAGAAAGCCUGUAGGAUGAAGUUGGAAGUUCCAGAGCCUUCUCUUCACAUAAUGGGACAUGCAAGGGGGAAACCAAAUCAAAAGUGUAGAAUGCGUCGCUGGAUGUCUUUGACAUGUUAUUGUUCUGAUAGAAUAUCAGCGGGGAGCUACUGAGGACCUCCUCACUACCCUCCCUUGGAAGAGUUUGUCUGCAAUGGAGCCAACACAGUGGAAAGCAGAGCUGAGAAAUGGACAAACAACUCCUGAUGCCUCAUUUGAGCACCUGGAUUUAGCCAUGUCUGAAGCUAUUAUAUCCUUGAACUUUUGAAUCAUGUAGGUUACCAUAAUUCCUUUUUUGUUAAAGCUAAUUUGAGUUGGGUUUCUAUCACUUGCAAUCAACAAUUGACCAGGUGCUUAGUACAUAAUGAAUGAGUGAAUGAACAAAUUCAAUUCUGUAAGUAUUUAUCAUCUCCUUACACGGCAGGCACUGUUUUAAGUCCCAAAGAAAGAGGCAGAGGAGCGACAGAGAUGACUUCCUCCCUUGAAAACGAAGCAUGUGGCCUGACAACCUAAAAUUGGGGUCAAUCCAUCCAAUUAUGGUGACUGCUUAGAAAUAUCCCUUUUCCUCCCAACGUUUUCCUUUCCUUCUCCCAUAAACAUAAUAAUGUCUCCUGCCAGUACUAAGGCAUGGCCCAUGGACCCACUAACACCUAUGCUCACGUUAGCUCUUGAGGCCGAGUGGCUUGGUUCUAUCUGGUUAUCAGAUGCAAACUUCAUCACAGCAGGGAUUUGGGCUAGACAUUAGAGGAAUAGUGUGGUACCAGAUGGUGUUUCUGAAGAAGGUUGUCCUAUUUUUGCAGUUUAAGGAUUUGAUAAUAAAUCUGCCUGGCAGCCCU